CUUUCUGUAAUGUAAUGGUUAUACUACUACCCAGUGGAGCUUUCUAGACAGCUGGAAGAGAAGGAUUCCUUGGUCUCUCAGCUAACAAGAGGCAAGCAGUCCUACACCCAGCAGAUUGAGGACCUCAAGAGACAACUAGAGGAGGAAAUUAAGGCUAAGAAUGCCCUGGCCCAUGCAGUUCAAUCUGCUCGUCACGACGCUGAUCUUCUGAGGGAGCAGUACGAGGAGGAGCAGGAAGCCAAAGCUGAGCUGCAGCGGAGUCUGUCCAAGGCAAACUCUGAGGUGGCUCAGUGGAGAACCAAGUAUGAAACUGAUGCCAUCCAGAGGACUGAGGAGCUGGAGGAUGCUAAGAAGAAACUUUCCCAGCGUCUGCAAGAUGCAGAAGAAGCUGUGAAAGCUGUAAAUGCUCCUCACUGGAGAAGACCAAACACAGGCUGCAGAAUGAGAUUGAAGAUCUCAUGGUGGAUGUGGAGAGAUCCAACGCUGCUGCUGAAAGAAACUUUGACAAGGUCCUGGCUGAAUGGAAGCAGAAAUAUGAGGAGUCUCAGAGUGAGCUGGAAAGCUCCCAGAAGGAGGCCAGAUCUCUGAGCACUGAACUCUUCAAACUGAAGAACUCUUAUGAGGAGUCUCUGGAUCAUCUGGAGACCAUGAAGAGAGAAAACAAGAACCUCCAAGGUGCCAUUGAUUUAGUAUUCAAAUAAAUAUCACACAUAAAU